rnacentral:rRNA from 1 species
GACGAACGCUGGCGGCGUGCUUAACACAUGCAAGUCGAGCGGUAAGGCCUUUCGGGGUACACGAGCGGCGAACGGGUGAGUAACACGUGGGUGACCUGCCCUCAGCUCUGGGAUAAGCCUGGGAAACUGGGUCUAAUACUGGAUAUUCACUUCUCAUCGCAUGGUGGGUUGUGGAAAGUUUUUUCGGCUGGGGAUGGGCCCGCGGCCUAUCAGCUUGUUGGUGGGGUGAUGGCCUACCAAGGCGACGACGGGUAGCCGGCCUGAGAGGGCGACCGGCCACACUGGGACUGAGAUACGGCCCAGACUCCUACGGGAGGCAGCAGUGGGGAAUAUUGCGCAAUGGGCGGAAGCCUGACGCAGCGACGCCGCGUGGGGGAUGACGGCCUUCGGGUUGUAAACCUCUUUCGCUACUGACGAAGCCUUGGGGUGACGGUAGGUAGAUAAGAAGCACCGGCUAACUACGUGCCAGCAGCCGCCGUAACAC